AGGUCAAGCGAAGAAGAGCGCAGGGUGGAUGCUUGGCACUAAGAGCCGAUGAAAGACGUGAUAAGCUGCGAAAAGUCACGGGGAGGAGCAAAUAUCCAUUGAUCCGUGAAUAUCUGAAUGGGGAAACCACAUGAGCAUACCUCAUGUAUCCAUACGCCAAUCCAUAACGUAUGGAAGGGAACCCGGUGAACUGAAACAUCUAAGUAGCCGGAGGAAGAGAAAGAAAAAUCGAUUUCCAAAGUAGCGGCGAGCGAAAUGGAAAGAGCCCAAACCGGAGUGCGUGCAUUCCGGGGUUCGGACCGCAUAAUUGAUUCAGCAAUUCCAGCAGAACUGUUUUGGGAAAGCAGACCAGAGAGGGUGAAAGUCCCGUAAGCGAAAGAAGAGCUGACAUGGCGGUAUCCAGAGUACAUCGAGACACGAGAAACCUUGAUGGAAUAAGCGGGGACCACCCCGUAAGGCUAAAUACUACUUAGUGACCGAUAGCGCAUAGUACUGUGAAGGAAAGGUGAAAAGGACCCCGGGAGGGGAGUGAAAGAGAACCUGAAACCCUGUGUUUACAAGCUGUGGAAGCACUUUAUAUGUGCGACCGCGUACUUUUUGUAGAACGGUCCGGCGAGUUACGCUUACUGGCGAGGUUAAGGACUUAAGGUCCGGAGCCGAAGGGAAACCAAGUCUUAACAGGGCGAGUUUAGUCAGUAGGAGUAGACCCGAAACCGGGUGAUCUAUCCAUGUCCAGGUUGAAGAUGCCGUAAAAGGCGUUGGAGGACCGAACCCACAUCCGUUGAAAAGGGUGGGGAUGAGGUGUGGAUAGGGGAGAAAUUCCAAUCGAACCCGGAGAUAGCUGGUUCUCCUCGAAAUAGCUUUAGGGCUAGCCUCGUUUUAGUCUUGUGGAGGUAGAGCACUGAAUUUCCGCGGGGGCGUCAAAGCUUACCAAAGAAUAUCAAACUCCGAAUGCCAUUAAGAUGAUGAACGGGAGUCAGACUGUACGAGAUAAGUUGGACAGUCAAAAGGGAAAGAGCCCAGACCACCAGCUAAGGUCCCAAAGUGUGUGUUAAGUGGAAAAGGAUGUGGGGAUUCAAAGACAACUAGGAUGUUGGCUCAGAAGCAGCCAUUCAUUCAAAGAGUGCGUAACAGCUCACUAGUCGAGAGUCCCUGCGCCGAAAAUGUCCGGGGCUAAAACACAACACCGAAGCUGUGGAAUCAUACCUAGUAUGAUUGGUAGAGGAGCAUUCUUAAGACCGACGAAGCUGUACCGGUAAGGAGCAGUGGAGGGAUAAGAAGAGAGAAUGCCGGAAUGAGUAGCGAGAGGAAGGUGAGAAUCCUUCCGGCCGAAUAUCCAAGGAUUCCAGGGUAAAGCUGAUCUGCCUGGGUAAGUCGGGACCUAAGGAGAGGCCGAGAGGCGUAUCCGAUGGACAACAGGUUUAGAUUCCUGUACCACAUAUGGUCAGAACUGUGGGGACGCAGAAGGAAAGCAUGAGCCAGGAAUGGAAAGACUGGUACAAGCAGAGGGGAUGGUGUGCUGGCAAAUCCGCACACGAAAGUCCUUGCUGUGAUGUGGAGCGAACUAGAGUAGCGAAGCAUGCGGACCGGCUGCCGAGAAAAGCCGCUAUUGUGCCAUAUGUGCCCGUACCGUAAACCGACACAGGUGGAUGAGGAGAGAAUCCUAAGGCCGACGGAAGAAGUAUUGUUAAGGAACUCGGCAAAAUGACCCCGUAACUUCGGGAGAAGGGGUGCCUGAGAAAUCAGGCCGCAGAGAAUAGGCUCAAGCAACUGUUUAGCAAAAACACAGGUCUAUGCAAAACCGAAAGGUGAAGUAUAUGCUGACGCCUGCCCGGUGCUGGAAGGUUAAGAGGAGAGGUUAGCGCAAGCGAAGCUUUGAAUUUAAGCCCCAGUAAACGGCGGCCGUAACUAUAACGGUCCUAAGGUAGCGAAAUUCCUUGUCGGGUAAGUUCCGACCCGCACGAAAGGCGUAAUGAUUUGAGCACUGUCUCGACAAUACAUCCGGUGAAAUUGAAGUACCAGUGAAGAUGCUGGUUACCCGCGCCAGGACGGAAAGACCCCAUGGAGCUUUACUCCAGUUUGGUACUGGGAUUCGGUACUGCAUGUACAGGAUAGGUGGGAGACGAAGAAGUUAGGACGCCAGUCUUAACAGAGUCGCUGUUGGGAUACCACCCUUGCAGUAUUGGGUUUCUAACCAGCCGCUGUGAACCAGCGGUGGGACAAUGCCAGGCGGGGAGUUUGACUGGGGCGGUCGCCUCCGAAAGGGUAUCGGAGGCGCUCAAAGGUUCCCUCAGAAUGGUUGGAAACCAUUUAAAGAGUGCAAAGGCAGAAGGGAGCUUGACUGCGACACCGACGGGUGGAGCAGGUACGAAAGUAGGACUUAGUGAUCCGGUGGCAUAAAGUGGGAUUGCCAUCGCUCAACGGAUAAAAGCUACCCUGGGGAUAACAGGCUUAUCACUCCCAAGAGUUCACAUCGACGGAGUGGUUUGGCACCUCGAUGUCGGCUCAUCGCAUCCUGGGGCUGUAGCAGGUCCCAAGGGUUGGGCUGUUCGCCCAUUAAAGCGGUACGCGAGCUGGGUUCAGAACGUCGUGAGACAGUUCGGUCCCUAUCCGGCGCGGGCGUAGGAUAUCUGAGGGGAGCUGGCCUUAGUACGAGAGGACCGGGCUGGACGGACCACUGGUGCAUCAGCUGGAUACCAAAUCCAUAGCUGGGUAGCCAAGUCCGGAAGGGAUAAACGCUGAAGGCAUCUAAGCGUGAAGCCCCCCCCAAGAUGAGAUGUCCCUGUCU
rnacentral:rRNA from 1 species